CCUCUUUCCUUUCCAUCAAAUCGGGGUUUCCUUUUCUUCCCUCUUCAUCACCUUAAUAUCGUUAUAAUCAGAGUUUCUUUUCUUCCUCCUUCAUCAUCCUAUGUAAACCCUAAAGGAAUUCACAGCAGUUCUUCAAGGAUUAUUACCGAUUUAUUCUAAUGGAAUGAUGGAUCUUUCAAAUGCUGUUGUUCUACAAGCAACAGAGUCCCAAUGAUGGUGAAUGCAACGAUGCUGAAGAUAGUCUCAAUCAGAACUUCGUUGAUCUAGAAUUUAAGAAGAUGGCGAUCAAAAUAUGCGAUCUAGUCGUCUGUACCUAGCGAAGGUGUGUACGAUUAAGUGGGGCCUGGCGUCAUUGUGAGUUUAAAGUUCUUCAUUUUGGUUAAUUUAGUGAUCUUCGUCUGCCAUCUCAAGCAUUCCAUCAGUUUUCUCCUAUCCCUCAUCCUCUAUCCAGAGGAAAAAAAGACAGAUAAUGGUUGACGAUUCUUCGUUGAGGAAACCAAACGGCGAUGGAGAUGGAGACCACAGGCCAAACGCGACCGGAAGAGAAAAAACCAUACUGAUGAAGUUACUGGUAGACUUUCCACUUCAUUAAAGCAU
rnacentral:lncRNA from 1 species